rnacentral:lncRNA from 1 species
CAUCUUGCCUCUGUUUAUUGAAGACUGAGGAUCUCUGCUAUAACGUGACACUUCCUACGGCUCCCAUAGGCUCUCAGAAGGCGGCAAAAAGCUGAAUCGUGGCUUUGCAGGCUCUGGCUGAAAAAAAGUAGCGCGUUUGGGUAGUGGCUGGUUACAGUAGUGUGAGAUUCAGGCGCGUGCCCGCGUCGACCGAAUGCUUUGUUUUCUUUCCUCUGUUUACCUAAACGCAGAUUCCCGGUCGGAAUAUUAUCGCUUUUUUACGAGAAAAAUUGCAUAAAAAUGGAUUUUAAACAGCGGUUGACAUGCUUCAAAGUACGGUAAUGGAAUAUUUAGAAUUUUUUUGUCACGAAUUGCGCCAUGCUCGUGACCCUUAUUUACACUUCGGAUAGUGUCUUGAACGCACGAACAAAACGCCGAUAUUUGGAUAUAACGAUGGAUUAUUUUGGACCAAACCAACAUUUGUUAUUGAAGUAGCAGUCCUGGGAGUGCAUUCUGACGAAGAACAUCAAAGAUGAAGUCCUGCAACUAGUGAGGUACGGUCACCCGACAACCUACCCAUUUGAUCCCAUCCUCCAUUCUCCUGACCAUCUCUGGAUACCUUUUACCAUUCCUCACUUCCCUAUCAACUCAUCCCUGACCACUGGUUGCAUCCCCUCUGACUUCAAAAUGGCCCGAAUCGCUCCCAUCCUCAAGAAACCAACACCCGACUCAUCUGACGUCAAAAACUACAGACCAGUAUCCCUUAUUUAUUUUCUUUGCAAAACACUUGUGUGCUGUCUCUGACAAACUAUCUCACUAUCUCUCUCAGAAUAAUCUUCUUGACCCUAACCAGUCAGGUUUUUGUCCUAGGCUGAAAGGCUUGCCAAGAACCAUUACUGUUUACAGUUGGAAUGAUCAGUACACAGGUAUCAUUUUUCA